CCACUGGGUCCACUCAUGUUGUUCUGCCAACUAUGCUGAUGGGAAGGGGUCAUCCAUGGAGAAGAGGAUGAAGGUGUGGUGGGAGGGGAAUAAGAUCAAGAGAACAAGUGGAGAUGUUAACCCUAGACAGGGAGGAAUAUUGAAAUGGGAGGAAAAGAGGAUUGAAAGAAAAGGGUUUCCCUGGCUGAGAGUACACCAAGAAGUUGAUCUCCUGGUUGGGGGAGUAGGUCCCCCUGGUAAUUCUGAUGCCCAGUCAAGUUUGGAAACUACCAUAUGACCUAAUAGCCUCAAGGAGAGGAGCAUUGAGUUCAUGUUCCCUUUUGCCCAAUGACUCUCUGAAAAGACCUGACAAUUCAAUAUGUGGAUCCUUCUUGGAAGUAACAGAGCAUGCUGGCCAAAGAGUUACUGCAAAAAUGCUCCUAAAUCAAGUAAACAAGGAAAAGAACAGGAGCUGAUAAUGCUGUUGUUUGUUAAUGCUCUUAUUGUAAACUACUUUUUGGAAGAUAAACCUUUUGUGGGAAGGCCAGGUACUAGGCUCCUUCAUUGCCUUAGAUGAUCCAAGAGACUGAGUAAUCAAGAUGGAGCAAAGAGCAAGAAGAGUGUCUGCAACACUUUUAACUUCACAAAGAAGUUACCAGGCAGAAGGGGACAAUUGCAGUGACUGAUUUUCCUGACAAAAUGACAGUGUCUUGACAAUGGCUAUGAAGUCUUGAUGACCCUUAACAUCUCAUAGAACAAAGAAGUCAGUAGAGCAAGGUGAAAAUGUUAAAGGAGGAAUACAAGAAACACAAAAGAAAGAUGACAGGGUGACAAGUUAAACAUAAUCCACGGAAUAAGAAACGUCAGAAGCCUCCUCCGCAGUACACCUACAAACACCUGCCCUUUUGUUAAUAGAUAAAAGAGAGCCUCUCACUGUAACUCCUUAACUUCCUUGGUGGAGGGAAAUCAGAUGGCUAGAAAGUGUGGUGGUGCCUGGUGUGAAAGACUUAACUGGGCAACACAUCCAGCAAGCUGUAUUUAACCUUCAUCAGUCUUUUAUUUGUACCCCCUAAAUCCUGGUUAUUGAAGUCUUCCAACUCCACCUCAUCUCUCCUUUUAUUGUCCCACUCAUAAAAUCUCAUAGGAGUAAAUAGAUUAGACAUAUUUACUGAUUAGGGCAGACAUAUUCCUCAUAUGUACUGAGGAAGAGUGAUAGGGGGAUCACCUUGGCCUGAAACCCUCUAUCAGGAGCCAAUUUUCAAGAAGAUAAGAAAAUAAUCAGCCACUUGUGAUCUUCUUUCCUUAAUUAUAUGAGAUCCUAUCCAAAUUUUCAAUCCACUGUCACUGACCUCUGAGGACCUUUGAUGCCUUUGACCUGGCUCUAGUGGAGUACCUUCCAUUCUUCCAAAUAGUCCCCCCAUUUGCCUUGGCCUUAAAUUCCACCAUGAAGGGGGAGUCUUUUAUUUUAAGCAUUUCUUUUUAUCUAAUAAUAAAAGAUAGAGGAAAUAAGAUAGUGGGAUUCGAAAUAACGUAACACAAAUUAAUUAUUCAUAUCAGUUUCUCUACUAGAGGAAAUGCAAUAGUUGAUUAAGGAUCAGAGGAAGGAAAAUCCUUCAAUGAAACAUUGAAAGAAAGCUGAAGAAUUUGUAGUGAGAGAAAACAAUUAUCUUAACAAACAUUUUUAUAUUAUAAUUCUUUUUCCCUUCUGGACAUCAGAUGCAGAUAAUUGAGUUCGUGAUUCAAUUCGUGGGUCAUUAUCAUCACUGGCCGCAGCAAGGCUUUAUUUGUAAAAAUUUUUUUCCAUUUUAUUUCCGUUCCUCAUUCCCAUUCCACCUCCCCACAGGUAGCUCUUCUAAUAUAUUAAAUGUGUACCUUUUUGUUUGCAUGUGUUCUUGCAAAAUGCAUAUUUUUGUGUACAUCAAAUUUACAUAAAUAAUAUCACAUCAUAAAAUUCAAUCCAUUUUAGAUUUUAUUUUCCUUGGACCAUAUUUUAAGAGCCAUGCAUGUUGCUGUGUGUACAUAUAAUCCCUUGCCUCUAACCACUACACAAUGUGCACAUUUUCCCUACAUACUCUCCCAGUGAUGUUGACCAAUAUUACCUCCAGUUAUCGCACCCCAAAUGAUGCUGAAACCAAUAUACAUGUACAUGACCCUUAUGGAACUGUGUGAGAAUUACUUUGAACUCUAUGUGCAA
rnacentral:lncRNA from 10 species